rnacentral:lncRNA from 1 species
UGCUCCUCAGCUUCCCCCUGGUCAUCUUAUAGUCAGUCACCUGCUUGGAACACAGAGAUUGUCACCUCCUGAUACAAAAGCAAUUUCCUAGAUGGGCAAUGAGCACGGACCCAGAGCCAUGCCUUCUCCAAGAAUGCAAGGGGCAAUGUCACCAAGCAUAGAAGCUGGCUUCUCUCCUUUGUUUAAGGCUCUUGGCCAAAACAUCACAGAGGAAAUCCCCAGUUGCAGGAAAGUCAAGCGUGUUCCUGCGCAGCUGGGCUGAUCACACACGUGGUUAUGACACCGCUCGCUCCCCAAGCACAUUUUCCACCAUCUGUAACAGGCAAGUGCUGGCUCGGGAGGCAGGUUCUUCCUGCUCACUCAGGAGUCUCCACUAGCAAGAGACAGAGCUAUGGCCUAUGAAACCACAACCUUUCCCCUUCCUCAAAGGAAUUGCUCGUAGGUUGGGGUUGCAGGGACUCUGUUUAUGUCAACACUCCCUGCCCAGAAAGCAGAACACUGAGGGAUGAGCUCCCGGCAAGUAGCAUCACUAUUUAAGCCACGGCCAAGACUACCUCCAAAUGCCCAGUCGUGAACUUCAUUUGUAAAGCUCUCCCAUCAAUGCAAAAGCACACAAUGUCUGGAAACUCACAGUGAGAGACCGAGCCCCCAAACUUUACCAUCCCCAAGCCAAACUACUUUAUCACUGCUUACAGCUCCCCUGGGAAGGAGACCGAGAAGUGAGUCAGUGAGAGCUGCCAUGUAAGAUAGCAUAGGAGGCCUCACUGGAGCUUCUGGCUUCCAAGCUGGCACUCAGCUAGGAAAGCCAGAGACUGCUUCUGGCAGGCUUAUUUCUACAGGUCAUAAGAAAGCCAUUGUCAACCAUGUGCAUUCCAUAGAUCCAAGUCCCAAACCACGGAAUAUUUCAAUUGUCUCCCCACAACUCCCAGUGCUGAAAGAUUAAAUCUGUCCCUCAGAAGACAGAUUUAUCUGAGGAACGGCAGGAAGGGGGCUGAUUUUUCUGAAGGCCUUAAUUAGUCCCUUCCGGAUCCAUUCCUUG